UACGGGGGGGGCAAGCGUUGUUCGGAAUUACUGGGCGUAAAGGGCUCGUAGGCGGCCAACUAAGUCAGACGUGAAAUCCCUCGGCUUAACCGGGGAACUGCGUCUGAUACUGGAUGGCUUGAGGUUGGGAGAGGGAUGCGGAGUUCCAGGUGUAGCGGUGAAAUGCGUAGAUAUCUGGAGGAACACCGGUGGCGAAGGCGGCAUCCUGGACCAAUUCUGACGCUGAGGAGCGAAAGCCAGGGGAGCAAACGGG
rnacentral:rRNA from 1 species